rnacentral:rRNA from 1 species
UACGGAGGGUGCGAGCGUUAAUCGGAAUUACUGGGCGUAAAGGGUGCGUAGGUGGUUGUAUAAGUUAUCUGUAAAAGCCCAGGGCUCAACCUUGGAAGGCCAGAUAAAACUGUACAACUCGAGUAUGGGAGAGGGUAGUGGAAUUUCCGGUGUAGCGGUGAAAUGCGUAGAGAUCGGAAGGAACACCAGUGGCGAAGGCGGCUACCUGGCCUGAUACUGACACUGAAGCACGAAAGCGUGGGGAGCAAACAGG